rnacentral:tRNA from 1 species
GGGAGUUUAGCUCAGUUGGUUCAGAGCAUCUGCCUUACAAGCAGAGGGUCGGCGGUUCGAGACCGUCAACUCCCA